GUGGUUAUCUUUUUUUAAGGUAAGUACAAUAAAAAUAGCAACUUAUUCCCUAUUUACCAGGAAACUCCUACAUUUGCGGACAUAUUUGAAGUGGUGCUUUGCAAUUUAUUUACUGUAAACACAAGUAUUUUAGCCAAAUAUAAUUUAUGAAAUGGCAAACCAGAAUGAAACAACAGCAGAUAUCAGCUCCCGCUAAAGCAAAAGACGACUAACGUUACAUGCGUAGGUUAGUGCGCAGGUGUAGGGCGCGCGGCCGUCUGCAGGAGGUUUGCUGGAACGCGAUCCUGAGGUGAAAUUUCUUUAAGAGGUUUUAAAAACGUUCUACACUGUGGAGUACAGCUGCGAGUGAUGUUAGCAGGUUCCGCAUGCUGGAUAAGAACAGCAUUUGUGAGACGACAUCAACUCAUCAUCCGAGUGGACAAGAACACCAACAGAGGAAGCCAAGCCGCAAAAACAAUGAAAAAUUGUCAUGACUUUUUAUUUUAAAUAAAAGUUAUGUGAUAAUAAACAUUAAGUGUUGGCUUAAUUAUAGUGUUUUAAAGAUGUUUUGAAAUAAGUUGUUUUAAAAUAAAAAUAACAAUAUUCUGUAUGUUUAUGGUAUUUACCCUAUAACAAGAGGUGAACAAAGCACCACUUUAGUUUACAGCCCGCAAAUAUGAGAGUUACCUGGUAACUCUCAUAUUUGCGGGCUGUAAACUAAAGUGGUGCUUUG